rfam:Brachypodium distachyon strain Bd21 chromosome 2, whole genome shotgun sequence.
AUAUUACUCCCUUCGUCCAACAAAGGAGAUGUCUCAACUUUGACUAAAUCUGAAUGCAUCUAUACACUAAGUCAUGUCUAAAUACAUCUAAAUUUUGACAAACUUGAGACAUCUUUUGUUGGACGGAAGGAGUACAUG